ensembl:lncRNA
CGCGAGCAGCGCCCCAAAUCCCGCACAGAAAGGACUGUGCGCUCCUGAGCUGCCCGGCCUCACACCAACAGCUGCAUCGCCUCGAGCAGACCCAGCUCAGCCGCAGGGCUGCUGUGUGAGCAUCCCCAGGUUCACUUCAGCCUCAUCAGCACAGGUCAGUUAUACAGCUGCCUGGCUGGAAAUAAGAGGUGUGUGUUUGCGCAUGGGUUUGGAUGCUCAUUUUCGAGCAGCCACAAUCCCAAAUGUGCAACGUUCACACUUGCAGACUAUUUGUAGCUAAGUAAAACCAAACUGCUUCUAAGCUGAACUGGGAGCAUCAGACUGUGGCACAGAUAUUCAGAGCCUUUCAAAGUCCCUGUUUGGGGAGUGAUUUUCUAAAAAUGCAGUUUUUUCCCUUUUCUUUUUGUUUAAAGUAAACGUGUGGUCUUUGAAGCUCCAAGAAAAGAACUUGAAAAACGUGACCUUUGGGCUUUGAUAUGAGACAACAAAUAAAAGUAAUCCAGAGGACAAUCCUUUCAAAAACACGCAUGGUGAAUGGAGAAAGGACAACAUGUUUUGCUUGGAGGCCAAGGCGGGCAGCGGGCUCGUCUAUCACCUUAGAGAAAUCAGUGGGAAAACCUGGCACUGCCAAAAGGCCGUGGCACACAGCACACUGCCCAGGGCUGCAUCCCCUCCAAUCCACACUCACUGCUCCGCCAUGGGAUGGACCCACCCCGAUGCUCCCGGAGCGCUUUGCUGAAGGAGCGGCAGAUGCGCGCCUGGCAGUGCUCCGGGGGGGACGUUUGUUCACCUGGCACCCGAGAGCACUUCAGCUCCAUGUCUCCAAAUCGACAUCUUCGCAUCACUUGGGAUCAAUGUCCGUGGGCCCACCAGGAUCCUGAAGCUACACCUCACACUGCUUCCAACGGGGAUGCUCUUCCACCAAAAGGAAAUAAAACGUGAGCUUCUGGGUGAUCCUGGGGUGGAAUGGACGAAGCCUGCUGGACCCGCUCUCACUGGGCCCUUUCAGAGCCAUACAUCAUUAUGGCGCUGUCGCCCUCAUGAUGUAUUGGUGUAAUGCAUCAUCAGAGCAGCACUGCUCCAGUGAUGCAUUGCUCUUCACACAGCGUUAGCCUCUCACCAGCCGAACGUCCACCAGCAAGAACACGUUCAGGACAGUCAGUACAUUUUAAUUUAUUAUUUUCCAAAACUUUUGGAGACUGGCACUGUUUAUUCCCACGGCUCAGCCUGGCUGCUGAACACGGGCGCGGUUCCAGCCCCGCUGUGAGCACCCCGCUCCCGGGAGCAGGAGAUGGGCAGUAACAGCUACCAAAGCUCCAUCCCACUGAAAGUCUUUUCCUUUCCUGAAUUGCACGGAAGUUUCAAACACUUCUCCCAAUUACUUCUCACCCCUUUUUGCUCACCUCCUCCUAUGGCUGCAAAGAGGGGAAAUGCAAAGGCAGCAAGCAACGCGUCUGUUGCAACCAAAAAUGAUUUUGCUAUUUCAACGCUGGGAAAUCUGCAAGUCAAAGGUGAGGGAAUGACUGCACGGAGCUGCUCUAUGAAAAAAUCACAAUCUGGCAGCCUGCAGCAGCCCGCGAUUGCUGGCAGAGUGGGAUUGCCAAUCAUUUUUAUACCUCUGCACUUUAAAUAGCAAUAAUGUGUUGAAUGUGAAAUUGCCUGCGCUGAUGUGGUUUGCUUCACGCUAUUAAAAUACAAGCGUCGGGACACACAUUACACAUUUGUGAUUCCUCUGAGACAUUGUUGGGGGGAAAAUACAAACUCCAGGAGAAAAUUGAGGGGGAAUUAAGAGGCAAAGGGGGAGGGAGAAGUGGCCAACCAGGUCACUGAGAGAUCGCAAGUGUGCAGAAAGGAAACAGGGAGAACAUUGUUCGGCGCAUCUGGACACAGCCAGGAAAUGGCCAAUUAUUCCGAAGUCACCGGGGCACAUUAAGCGACGGAGAUUAUUUCCG